rnacentral:miRNA from 1 species
UGUGGUCGACGGGACGGGCC